AUUGACCGCUGGCGGCAGGCCUAACACAUGCAAGUCGAGCGAGCGGCGGACGGGUGAGUAAUGUCUGGGAAACUGCCUGAUGGAGGGGGAUAACUACUGGAAACGGUAGCUAAUACCGCAUACCAUCAGAUGUUCCCAGAUGGGAUUGGCUGGUAGGUGGGGUAACGGCUCACCUAGGCGACGAUCCCUAGCUGGUCUGAGAGGAUGACCAGCCACACUGGAACUGAGACACGGUCCAGACUCCUACGGAGGGCAGCAGUGGGGAUUGUUGGACAAUGGGCGAAAGCCGGAUGCAGCCAUGCCGGGUGUGUGAAGAAGGCCUUCGGGUUGUAAAGCACUUUCGGCGGGGAGGCGUUACCCGCAGAAGAAGCACCGGCUAACUCCGUGCCAGCAGCCGCGGUAAUUC
rnacentral:rRNA from 1 species